ACGCUUUAAAGGGACAGCACGGGGCGCGCGCUUCCCGCUUAAAAGCUUUAAUCCCCGAAUUUGACUGGUGCAGGCCCUUCUAAUGCACUUCCUAAAAACUGAAGUAUAAUAAUACAUACAGGAAAGUGCUAGUGUGCCCUCGCGUUUCCACAGACAGCACGCCCUGCACACAGACUCAAGCGGCCCUCCGGGACCUGCGCAGGUGGCGUCGCCCGGCGUUGUCUCCGGAGUCGAUUCCGGCCGGGGCACCUCCCCGGGCGACCAGGCCCCUUCUUGAUCAUCGCUGGUACGGAUGAGAGCGGCAGUGGGCAUUUGGAAAGCACCUGGGGCCGCGCCCGGGCGCAGUGCCCCCGUGUGGCCUCCCACCCCGGGCGGGCAGGACGAUUCCUGCCCAUUUGGAAGACCAGGAACCUGCGCGUUCACAGGGUUCGGAAGCCCGGGCUGCGCCUUCCCGCGGGGCCGGCUGCCGGGCUGGGGGCUCUUCCCGCCUCUGCAUGCACAGAGCCCGCGGUGCACGAACCUGCUCCCCGCCAGCCCCGCGGACUGGCAGAGCCGCUCUGGAGUCACCCGCGCCCGCUCCGCAGUGCGCAAACUCACUUCGCAGCGGGCUCUCCGGGGGCCAGCCCUUCCCUCCUGGGCGGGCAUUUUCACCUCCAGGUACAAAGGGGUGGUCCCCAGAGGAGGACUCGGGGCUUAAGGAGAAGCUGAGGCCCGGUCCUCUGGCCUCAACGACUGCACAUUCUCGCCGCCUGCUUCACUUCUUAGAGCCUUGGAGAUAGAACCUUCUAGUAAAAAUGAG
rnacentral:lncRNA from 1 species